rnacentral:lncRNA from 1 species
GCUUUAGGAAAGGGCAGUUGUGGAAAUUGAUUCCCUAAAUCUGUCUGUGUCUCUGUACUUCUUGAAAAUCUUCACGUACCACAGAGAUAGGUACACUUCAGUUUGAACCAGUGAUACAAUUCAUUAUGUAGAUAAAGAUGCCCAUGACUUGCUUAGCUUAAUAGAUUUUUUUUUACGUAAUCUCCUAGAUGUUAAGAUUUAUAUAGUGAUGAAAUUCUUCUGAAAGCUAUCACUAGGAACAAAAAGAAUCUCAAAGAUUUUUUGUGUUUAAUGGAUUUUUUUGGUCUAUUAGAACAUUAGAAGCUUUUAGAAAGAUUUGUCAUAGUGUUUAAACUUCCUUGUAUUUUAACAGUGUUCAUUUUUUAACAGGUGGCCAAUAUGUUCUACAUUGUAGUGAUUAUGGCUCUUGUAUUACUUAGUUUUGGUGUUCCCAGAAAGGCAAUACUUUAUCCUCAUGAAGCACCAUCUUGGACUCUUGCUAAAGAUAUAGUUUUUCACCCAUACUGGAUGAUUUUUGGUGAAGUUUAUGCAUACGAAAUUGAUGUGUGUGCAAAUGAUUCUGUUAUCCCUCAAAUCUGUGGUCCUGGGACGUGGUUGACUCCAUUUCUUCAAGCAGUCUACCUCUUUGUACAGUAUAUCAUUAUGGUUAAUCUUCUUAUUGCAUUUUUCAACAAUGUGUAUUUACAAGUGAAGGCAAUUUCCAAUAUUGUAUGGAAGUACCAGCGUUAUCAUUUUAUUAUGGCUUAUCAUGAGAAACCAGUUCUGCCUCCUCCACUUAUCAUUCUUAGCCAUAUAGUUUCUCUGUUUUGCUGCAUAUGUAAGAGAAGAAAGAAAGAUAAGACUUCCGAUGGACCAAAACUUUUCUUAACAGAAGAAGAUCAAAAGAAACUUCAUGAUUUUGAAGAGCAGUGUGUUGAAAUGUAUUUCAAUGAAAAAGAUGACAAAUUUCAUUCUGGGAGUGAAGAGAGAAUUCGUGUCACUUUUGAA